UUGGUCCAAAGGCAUGUUUUCCAAGAUCUUUGUACCGAUCGAAACGAACUCCAGGCACACAUUCAUGGAGCUGUAUCAUUUGCCACAUUGUGUGUAAGGUUAUACACCAUGCUUGUACCGAUCGAAACGAACUCCCGGCACACAUUCAUGGAGCUGUAUCAUUUGCCACAUUGUGUGUAAGGUUAUACACCAUGAUAAGAUCAUAACGGCCGUCCCCGGACCCCUGAUGGACAAAGACAACUUUACUUCAACCACAGUAAAUAAAUCCUUUGAAGACAUAAUUAGGGACUAAAAGUAUGCU
rnacentral:lncRNA from 1 species